UAAAUAUUGUAACAUCUUACUUGUAUACAAGUCUGCAGCCUCUGCCCCUCAUCUGUCUGCUUGGCAGUCAUCAGAAGUUAUUCUGUGAGCCAAUCACAAUGCUUUCCCAUAGGAUUGGCUGAGACUGUCAAGAAGGCAGAUCAGGGGCAUAGCCAGGACAAGUCAAACACAGUUCUGGCCCUCAACAUAUUCUCAUAGAGAUGAAUUCAACUAUCUUGUAUAACUAUAUGUAUCUCUAUGACGAAAGUUCCGGGUCUGCAUGCAGAGGGUGGAGAUACGGAAUGGCAGUACUGCACAGUG